rnacentral:rRNA from 1 species
GAUCAUGGCUCAGGAUGAACGCUAGCUACAGGCUUAACACAUGCAGGUCGAGGGGCAGCAUGAACUUAGCUUGCUAAGUUUGAUGGCGACCGGCGCACGGGUGAGUAACACGUAUCCAACCUUCCGUUUACUCAGGGAUAGCCUUUCGAAAGAAAGAUUAAUACCUGAUAGUAUGGUGAGAUUGCAUGAUAACACCAUUAAAGAUUUAUUGGUAAACGAUGGGGAUUCGUUCCAUUAGG